CGCGCAAAUUACCCAAUCCCGACACGGGGAGGUAGUGACAAUAAAUACUGAUACAGGGCUCUUUUGGGUCUUGUAAUUGGAAUGAGUACAAUUUAAAUCCCUUAACGAGGAACAAUUGGAGGGCAAGUCUGGUGC
rnacentral:rRNA from 1 species